UGGGGAAUUUUGGACAAUGGGGGCAACCCUGAUCCAGCCAUCCCGCGUGUGCGAUGAAGGCCUUCGGGUUGUAAAGCACUUUUGGCAGGGAAGAAACAGCCUGGGCUAAUAUCCCGGGCGACUGACGGUACCUGCAGAAUAAGCACCGGCUAACUACGUGCCAGCAGCCGCGGUAAUACGUAGGGUGCAAGCGUUAAUCAGAAUUACUGGGCGUAAAGUGUGCGCAGGCGGUUCGGAAAGAAAGGUGUGAAAUCCCAGGGCUUAACCUUGGAACUGCACUUUUAACUACCGGGCUAGAGUACGUCAGAGGGGGGUAGAAUUCCACGUGUAGCAGUGAAAUGCGUAGAGAUGUGGAGGAAUACCGAUGGCGAAGGCAGCCCCCUGGGAUGAUACUGACGCUCAUGCACGAAAGCGUGGGGAGCAAACA
rnacentral:rRNA from 1 species